rnacentral:rRNA from 1 species
AUACGAAGGGGGCUAGCGUUGUUCGGAAUCACUGGGCGUAAAGCGCGCGUAGGUGGAUCAAUUAGUUGAGGGUGAAAUCCCGGGGCUCAACCUCGGAACUGCCUUCAAUACUGUUGAUCUUGAGACCGUGAGAGGUGAGUGGAAUUCCUAGUGUAGAGGUGAAAUUCGUAGAUAUUAGGAAGAACACCAGUGGCGAAGGCGGCUCACUGGCUCGGUACUGACGCUGAGGUGCGAAAGCGUGGGGAGCAAACAGAAUUAGAUACCCUAGUAGUCC